rnacentral:misc_RNA from 1 species
GCAAACUUGGUCAUUUAGAGGAAGUAAAAGUCGUAACAAGGUUUCCGUAGGUGAACCUGCGGAAGGAUCAUUAUUGAAUAACCUCACUCGAUGGGUUGUCGCUGGCCUUUCGAGGCAUGUGCACGCCUGUCUUGACUCUAUUCAUCCACCUGUGCACCCAUUGUAGUCCUUUUCACUCUUGGGGGGGUCAAGAAAGCAAGGCUGAACUUGUUCAGUUGAAACACACUGGAAUUGAGGAUUGCUCUUGUGGCUUUCCUCUCCCUCAGCCUUGUGGAGUUGUGCCUUUCUGAGACUCCAAGGGGGCUAUGUAUUUUAUCAUAAACCACGUAGUAUGUUGUCAGAAUGCAAUCAGUUGGGCCUGUGUGCCUAUAAAAUCUUAUACAACUUUCAGCAACGGAUCUCUUGGCUCUCGCAUCGAUGAAGAACGCAGC